UCUCAGCCAGCCAUCCAGUGUCUCUACAAGAUGAAGGCCGUCUUUGUGGCGUUGGUGAUUUCAUGUCUUGUGGUUUGCAGUCUCGGGGAUGAUGGAGCUGCUGAGUUUGUUGUUCGUCAAGCAAACCAAGUACAAGAUCGAUGCAGGUGCUGGCUCCGUGGUACGCCGCCAUGCCCAGGUGCCAUAUACAUACCAACUUCUGCUUUCUUUUCUAUGGUUUUUCAGGCUUAACUGUUUUAUUUUUGUUUCAUGUUUCUGUCAGGACCACCCCCACCAGG